AAUUAAUUUAAAAAGAUCAUAUGGUAUGGAGCAUGGCUCAAGAAAUCUUCUGAGGAUACCAUGAGUCAUUAACCGUAACAAUAUUGUAAGUUUUCUUAUAAUUGUUACUAUUGCUUUUGUUAUUUCAUUUUUCUUAUGUUCUUUUACUUGUAAUUUAUUCCCAAAUGCGACUUGCAUAAUUUAUAUAUAAUACAUUUUAAGGAGCAUAGUGAACCACAGUAAUUAUGCUUUGUGUUUAAUGUGUUUUCAUUUUGUGGUUUUGGAUUUUCUUGAUACGGAAUGCUUACAUAGAUCUAAAUUUCCCACAUCUCUUUUCGUCGUGUUUCUUUCUUUCUUUCCUUUUUUUUUUUUUUUUCCCCUUCUUGUAAUGCACCCAUCAAUGUUAAAUUUUAAAGGACGUAACAGAAGAGAAUGACUUAGACCUUUAUUUUAGGACUCUUAUGUAGUAUUUUGGUUAUUUAGAUAUACUUUUUGGACAUGCCAUACAAGAAUCUUCUUCAGCAUGUUUUCUUGAAUUUUAUUAUUCAAAGAUUGAUUACACUAUAUAAGUUCCGUAUUGAUUUUGCCUUACUUUUAGAAUUUUGCAUUAACAGUAAUUUUGGUAAAGAAUUAAGUAGUAAAGGAAUUAACAAGUCACUUCCUGCCUUUCUACUCUCACAAUAAUUUUAGUUGUCCCCAAGAUACCGAUUUUCUUUUCUGCAUUAUAUUCAUCUAACCCGGCCUUGAAAUCUCUGAGCCUGGAGAACGUUGAUGGAACAGAUCUUCCUUUUCUUGUGACUCUCAAUGCAAAAGAUAAACCAAAACAAACCUUGCUUAAGUGGUCUACUGGCCACCCCGUUCCAUCUGUUGCUGCAUCAAAAGCUUCACUUGAACUUCAUCAUAUUCAAGGAAAGAGAGGAAUUUGGUUUUGUGGAGCAUAUCAGGGUUAUGGCUUCCAUGAGGAUGGAUUGAAGGCU